AUGGCUUCCUCCACUGUCGCCUCCGCCCCCUUCCUCCCGUCGCUCCCCAGUCCAAACCACAGGCGCCUCUCCCUCCGCUACCCCGCUCGCCGUCUCGGGGUGGCCGCCUCUGCGGCUCCUAAGGGCGCGGCAGCGUCGGAGGCGGCGAGGGAGCGCCGGCGUUUCCUGGAGCGUUACGGCCUCAACCCUGACGACUUUGAGGAAGAUGCCGAGCCGGAUCCCAGGGAAGAGAGGAGGAGGGAGAGGCGGACGCGGCGGUCGGGGGGAGGGGAGGGGGAGGCCGCUGUUGCUCCUGCCAGGCCGGUGGAGCGCCGGGAGACUCAUAAGAUGCUCCAGGUACUAGCUGGGAAAGUACGCAGAAGAAAACUACUAUCACCAAAAGAUAGGAAUGUCCGUCCAAUGAUGGAAGUUGUCCGAGGAGCAGCCUUUGACAUUAUACAAUCAGCUGGUGGUUCUCCUGCUUCACUCAAACCUGGUCUGUGGUUAGACUUGUACAGUGGUACUGGAUCUGUAGGAAUUGAAGCUAUGAGCCGAGGCUGUUCACAGGCACAUUUUGUUGAGUUGGACCCUUGGGUUAUUUCUGAGGUUCUUAGACCUAAUCUGGACUGUACUGGAUUUCUUGAUACUUCACACAUACAUAUGCUCCGUGUCGAGAACUUCUUGGACAAUGCUGAAAAAUCUAAAGGUAGAUAUCCUUCUUUUGAUUAUAUUAGUGUAACACCACCAUAUGUUGAGGUCAACUACAGUACACUACUCGAUCAGCUUGCAAGGUCCCCGUUGGUUGGAGAAGAUUGCUUCAUUCUAGUUGAGUACCCACUCAAAACAGAUAUGCCUGAAUCCUGCGGAAAGCUAAUAAAGAUAGCUGACAGGAAGUUUGGGCGGACAAACCUGCUGAUUUAUGGGCCGACCUGGUCAGAGAAAAAGAAAGGAAGGAUCCUGAGAUAA
rnacentral:rRNA from 1 species